CACCACUCAAGCCUGGCUUGGUAUUGGGCGCCGCGGGACUCCCGCGCGCCUCAAAGUCUUUUUCCGGCUGAGCGACCCGUCUCUAAGCGUUGUGGCAACUAUUCGCGGCGAGAUCGGGGGCGGCGGCCGUUAAAUCAUUUCAUUCA
rnacentral:misc_RNA from 1 species